UACAGAGGUCCCGAGCGUUGUUCGGAUUCACUGGGCGUAAAGGGUGCGUAGGUGGUGAGGUAAGUCGGAUGUGAAAUCUCCGGGCUCAACCCGGAAAUGGCAUUGGAAACUACCUUGCUGGAGGAUUUGAGGGGGGAUUGGAAUACUUGGUGUAGCAGUGAAAUGCGUAGAUAUCAAGUGGAACACCAGUGGCGAAGGCGAGUCCCUGGACACUUCCUGACACUGAGGCACGAAAGCUAGGGGAGCAAACAGG
rnacentral:rRNA from 1 species